GAUGAACGCUGGCGGCGUGCCUAAUACAUGCAAGUCGAGCGAACGGACGAGAAGCUUGCUUCUCUGAUGUUAGCGGCGGACGGGUGAGUAACACGUGGAUAACCUACCUAUAAGACUGGGAUAACUUCGGGAAACCGUAGCUAAUACCGGAUAAUAUUUUGAACCGCAUGGUUCAAAAGUGAAAGACGGUCUUGCUGUCACUUAUAGAUGGAUCCGCGCUGCAUUAGCUAGUUGGUAAGGUAACGGCUUACCAAGGCAACGAUGCAUAGCCGACCUGAGAGGGUGAUCUGCCACACUACAGCAGACAGCCGGUCCAGCCUCCUACAGGAGGCAGCAGUAGGCACUCUUACGAAGUGCGCGAACGCCUGACGGAGCAACGCCACGUAAGUGAUGACAGUCUUCUGAUCGUACAACUCUGUUAUUAGGGAAGAACAUAUGUGUAAGUAACUGUGCACAUCUUGACGGUACCUAAUCAGAAAGCCACGGCUAACUACGUG
rnacentral:rRNA from 1 species